rnacentral:rRNA from 1 species
CCCUUAGAUGUUCUGGGCCGCACGCGCGCUACACUGAUGCAUUCAACAAGCCUAGCCUUGACCGAGAGGUCCGGGUAAUCUUUGAAACUGCAACGUGAUGGGGCUAGAUUAUUGCAAUUAUUAAUCUUCAACGAGGAAUGCCUAGUAAGCGUGAUUCAUCAAAUCGCGUUGAUUACGUCCCUGCCCUUUGUACACACCGCCCGUCGCUCCUACCGAUUGAAUGUGUUGGUGAGGAGCUCGGAUUGGCGGCAGUUGGUGGUUCGCCACCGGCUAUUGCUGAGAAGACCUCCAAACCGCCCCAUUUAGAGGAAGGAGAAGUCGUAACA